rnacentral:rRNA from 1 species
AGAGUUUGAUCAUGGCUCAGGACGAACGCUGGCGGCGUGCUUAACACAUGCAAGUCGAACGGAAAGGCCCUUCGGGGUACUCGAGUGGCGAACGGGUGAGUAACACGUGGGUGAUCUGCCCUGCACUUUGGGAUAAGCCUGGGAAACUGGGUCUAAUACCGAAUAGGACCACGCGCUUCAUGGUGUGUGGUGGAAAGCUUUUGCGGUGUGGGAUGGGCCCGCGGCCUAUCAGCUUGUUGGUGGGGUAAUGGCCUACCAAGGCGACGACGGGUAGCCGGCCUGAGAGGGUGACCGGCCACACUGGGACUGAGAUACGGCCCAGACUCCUACGGGAGGCAGCAGUGGGGAAUAUUGCACAAUGGGCGCAAGCCUGAUGCAGCGACGCCGCGUGAGGGAUGACGGCCUUCGGGUUGUAAACCUCUUUCAAUAGGGACGAAGCGCAAGUGACGGUACCUAUAGAAGAAGCACCGGCCAACUACGUGCCAGCAGCCGCGGUAAUACGUAGGGUGCGAGCGUUGUCCGGAAUUACUGGGCGUAAAGAGCUCGUAGGUGGUUUGUCGCGUUGUUCGUGAAAACUCACAGCUUAACUGUGGGCGUGCGGGCGAUACGGGCAGACUAGAGUACUGCAGGGGAGACUGGAAUUCCUGGUGUAGCGGUGGAAUGCGCAGAUAUCAGGAGGAACACCGGUGGCGAAGGCGGGUCUCUGGGCAGUAACUGACGCUGAGGAGCGAAAGCGUGGGGAGCGAACAGGAUUAGAUACCCUGGUAGUCCACGCCGUAAACGGUGGGUACUAGGUGUGGGUUCCUUCCUUGGGAUCCGUGCCGUAGCUAACGCAUUAAGUACCCCGCCUGGGGAGUACGGCCGCAAGGCUAAAACUCAAAUGAAUUGACGGG